UUUACUUCUAUUAAUUGGAACAUUUAUAGUAUCAUGGGCAUUAUCGUCAUUCACAUCAAUUCUGUAUGACAAUUUCAUCUCUAUAGGGAAAUUUCAUUCCUCUCCAUUGUCAUCGGAAUUUAAAUUCAAAGUUGUUGGCAUCAUGAAGAAAUUUGGAGGAAGACCAUUCGGAUUAUCUGUGGCCGGGUUUUUCUAUAUCAAGAAGAACUUCGUCAUUCGGG